rnacentral:rRNA from 1 species
CCUACGGGAGGCUGCAGUGAGGAAUAUUGGUCAAUGGACGAGAGUCUGAACCAGCCAAGUAGCGUGAAGGAUGACUGCCCUAUGGGUUGUAAACUUCUUUUAUAAAGGAAUAAAACGAGGCACGUGUGCCUUUUUGCAUGUACUUUAUGAAUAAGGAUCGGCUAACUCCGUGCCAGCAGCCGCGGUAAUACGGAGGAUCCGAGCGUUAUCCGGAUUUAGUGGGUUUAAAGGGAGCGUAGAUGGGUUGUUAAGUCAGUUGUGAAAGUUUGCGGCUCAACCGUAAAAUUGCAAUUGAUACUGGCAGUCUUGAGUACAGUUGAGGUAGGCGGAAUUCGUGGUGUAGCGGUGAAAUGCUUAGAUAUCACGAAGAACCCCGAUUGCGAAGGCAGCUUACUAAGCUGUGACUGACAUUGAUGCUCGAAAGUGUGGGUAUCAAACAGGAUUAGAUACCCGUGUAGUC